GAUGAACGCUGGCGGUGUGCCUAAUACAUGCAAGUCGAGCGAACAGACGAGGAGCUUACUCCUCUGACGUUAGCGGCGGACGGGUGAGUAACACGUGGAUAACCUACCUAUAAGACUGGGAUAACUUCGGGAAACCGGAGCUAAUACCGGAUAACAUGUUGAACCGCAUGGUUCAACAGUGAAAGACGGUCUUGCUGUCACUUAUAGAUGGAUCCGCGUCGCAUUAGCUAGUUGGUAAGGUAACGGCUUACCAAGGCAACGAUGCGUAGCCGACCUGAGAGGGUGAUCGGCCACACUGGAACUGAGACACGGUCCAGACUCCUACGGGAGGCAGCAGUAGGGAAUCUUCCGCAAUGGGCGAAAGCCUGACGGAGCAACGCCGCGUGAGUGAAGAAGGUCUUCGGAUCGUAAAACUCUGUUAUUAGGGAAGAACAAAUGUGUAAGUAACUAUGCACGUCUUGACGGUACCUAAUCAGAAAGCCGCGGCUAACUACGUG
rnacentral:rRNA from 1 species